GGGGAUGUGGUUUAGUGGUAUAAUACCUCUUUAGCAUAGAGGUGGUCCAGGGUUCGAUUCCCUGCAUCUCCA
rfam:Sphaerulina musiva SO2202 unplaced genomic scaffold SEPMTscaffold_5, whole genome shotgun sequence.